rnacentral:lncRNA from 1 species
AGAUGAUAGAGUAUGGACUCUAUUUUACAGACAGUGGGAGCCCGCUGAAGGGAAAUGCCACAUUCAACUUAUGCUUCAGUGUCGGAUUCCAUUGGAAAGGGGGCGGUGACUGGAAGUGAGGACACCAACCCAUCAGGCGUGCUCUCAUUUAGUUUUCUAGCGGAAAAAAAAAAAAAAGCCUGAAGCAAGGAUUAAAGUACUGACAUUUUAUUUGGGAAGCACAAGCCCAGGCCAGGGAAGCUGCAGAAAAAGGAAAAAAGGGAAGUGAGUAUAGGAAACAAUGCACAGUCAUGCCUUGCACAACUGGCUUCUGCUUCGGGAUGAGCCAUUGGCUGAUGAGGCAUGGGAGGCUCAGCAGGUCUGUUCCCUUGGCAUGUGGGACAUCUUGCAGUGGAUGCAGGGAGGGACCAUGCCUCUAGCAUUCUCUGGGAAGAAUAAAGGAGAAGUUUAUCUUCCCACCUACCUCCCAUUGCCUGUUUUUCAUUGGUCAAAACUUGUCCCACUAGGAAUUAACUCCUUCACAUUUCCAAGUUUAUAUCAUAUGACUGCUCCAACUACAUGGGACCCCAAACCCCAAACCUGAUGUAUGUAUAGUGUUCCUGUUUCAUCCAAGCCUGGAAAUGAGGGGAAGAGCCAGAACCUCUAGAUAGGGCCUAAAGCCAAUAAUGAGUGUCUAAGACAGAAGAAGACACAAAGAAGAAGAGACGGGAAUGUGGUCACAGAGGCAGAGACUGGAGCAAUGCAGCCACAAGCCAAGGAACACCUGGACCCACCAGAAGCUGGAAGAGGAAAGAAGGGAUUUCUUUUUCUUCUAGAGCCUUGGGAGGGAGCAUGGCCCUGCUGACAACUUAUUUUCAGACUUCUAGAUUCUAGAACUAUCAGAUAAUAAAUUUAUAUUGUUUUAA